rnacentral:rRNA from 1 species
UGGGGAAUAUUGGACAAUGGGCGCAAGCCUGAUCCAGCCAUGCCGCGUGAGUGAUGAAGGCCUUAGGGUUGUAAAGCUCUUUCGGCGGGGACGAUAAUGACGGUACCCGCAGAAGAAGCCCCGGCUAACUUCGUGCCAGCAGCCGCGGUAAUACGAAGGGGGCUAGCGUUGCUCGGAAUCACUGGGCGUAAAGGGCGCGUAGGCGGACUUUUAAGUCGGAGGUGAAAGCCCAGGGCUCAACCCUGGAAUUGCCUUCGAUACUGGGAGUCUCGAGACCGGAAGAGGUAAGUGGAACUGCGAGUGUAGAGGUGAAAUUCGUAGAUAUUCGCAAGAACACCAGUGGCGAAGGCGGCUUACUGGUCCGGUUCUGACGCUGAGGCGCGAAAGCGUGGGGAGCAAA